GUGCUUGCUUCAGCAGCACACAGACCAAAAUUGGAAGGAUACAGAGAAGAUUAGCAUGGCUCCUGUGAAAGGAUGACAUGAAAAUGUGUGAAGCGUUCCAUAUUUGG